UGAUAUCGACCGACGUCGUGACUGUGGU
rnacentral:sRNA from 1 species